GUCGAGCGAGGGAACUCUUCGGAGUGGAACUAGCGGCGGACGGGUGAGUAACACGUGGGCAACCUGCCUCGUAGAGGGGAAUAGCCUUUCGAAAGGAAGAUUAAUACCCCAUAAUAUUGCAACUUCGCAUGAAGAAGCAAUUAAAGGAGUAAUCCGCUACGAGAUGGGCCCGCGUCGCAUUAGCUAGUUGGUAAGGUAAUGGCUUACCAAGGCGACGAUGCGUAGCCGACCUGAGAGGGUGAUCGGCCACAUUGGGACUGAGACACGGCCCAGACUCCUACGGGAGGCAGCAGUGGGGAAUAUUGCACAAUGGGGGAAACCCUGAUGCAGCAACGCCGCGUGAGUGAUGACGGUCUUCGGAUUGUAAAGCUCUGUCUUCAGGGACGAUAAUGACGGUACCUGAGGAGGAAGCCACGGCUAACUACGUGCCAGCAGCCGCGGUAAUACGUAGGUGGCAAGCGUUGUCCGGAUUUACUGGGCGUAAAGGGAGCGUAGGCGGAUUUUUAAGUGGGAUGUGAAAUACUCGGGCUCAACCUGAGUGCUGCAUUCCAAACUGGAAAUCUAGAGUGCAGGAGAGGAAAGUGGAAUUCCUAGUGUAGCGGUGAAAUGCGUAGAGAUUAGGAAGAACACCAGUGGCGAAGGCGACUUUCUGGACUGUAACUGACGCUGAGGCUCGAAAGCGUGGGGAGCGAACAGGAUUAGAUACCCUGGUAGUCCACGCCGUNNNCGAUGAAUACUAGGUGUAGGGGUUGUCAUGACCUCUGUGCCGCCG
rnacentral:rRNA from 1 species